rnacentral:misc_RNA from 1 species
UUUCCGUAGGUGAACCUGCGGAAGGAUCAUUACCGAGCGAGGGCCCUCUGGGUCCAACCUCCCACCCGUGUCUCUUGUACCUCGUUGGUUCCGCCGGCCCGCCUCACGGCCGCCGGGGGGCAUCUCGCCCCCGGGGCCGCGCCCGCCGAACACACCCACGAACUCUGUCUGAAGAAUGCAGUCUGAGUGAAAUGAUAAAUUAUUUAAAACUUUCAACAACGGAUCUCUUGGUUCCG